CCUACGGUGGGCAGCAGUGGGGAAUAUUGCGCAAUGGGCGAAAGCCUGACGCAGCGACGCCGCGUGAGGGAUGAAGGUCUUCGGAUCGUACACCUCUGUCAGCAGGGAAGAACGGUCACUUUGCUAAUCAGCAGUGAAUUGACGGUACCUGCAAAGGAAGCACCGGCUAACUCCGUGCCAGCAGCCGCGGUAAAACGGAGGGUGCGAGCGUUAAUCGGAAUGACAGGGCGUAAAGCGCUCGUAGGCGGUAUGUCAAGUCAAGGGUGAAUUCCCCGCGCUCAACGUUGGAACGGCCUUUGAAACUGGCAAUCUGGAGUUUGUGAGAGGAUAGUGGAAUUCCAGGUGUAGGAGUGAAAUCCGUAGA
rnacentral:rRNA from 1 species